rnacentral:rRNA from 1 species
AUGCUGGAGGUAUCAGAAGUGCGAAUGCUGACAUAAGUAACGAUAAAGCGGGUGAAAAGCCCGCUCGCCGGAAGACCAAGGGUUCCUGUCCAACGUUAAUCGGGGCAGGGUGAGUCGACCCCUAAGGCGAGGCCGAAAGGCGUAGUCGAUGGGAAACAGGUUAAUAUUCCUGUACUUGGUGUUACUGCGAAGGGGGGACGGAGAAGGCUAUGUUGGCCGGGCGACGGUUGUCCCGGUUUAAGCGUGUAGGCUGGUUUUCCAGGCAAAUCCGGAAAAUCAAGGCUGAGGCGUGAUGACGAGGCACUACGGUGCUGAAGCAACAAAUGCCCUGCUUCCAGGAAAAGCCUCUAAGCAUCAGGUAACAUCAAAUCGUACCCCAAACCGACACAGGUGGUCAGGUAGAGAAUACCAAGGCGCUUGAGAGAACUCGGGUGAAGGAACUAGGCAAAAUGGUGCCGUAACUUCGGGAGAAGGCACGCUGAUAUGUAGGUGAAGUCCCUCGCGGAUGGAGCUGAAAUCAGUCGAAGAUACCAGCUGGCUGCAACUGUUUAUUAAAAACACAGCACUGUGCAAACACGAAAGUGGACGUAUACGGUGUGACGCCUGCCCGGUGCCGGAAGGUUAAUUGAUGGGGUCAGCGCAAGCGAAGCUCUUGAUCGAAGCCCCGGUAAACGGCGGCCGUAACUAUAACGGUCCUAAGGUAGCGAAAUUCCUUGUCGGGUAAGUUCCGACCUGCACGAAUGGCGUAAUGAUGGCCAGGCUGUCUCCACCCGAGACUCAGUGAAAUUGAACUCGCUGUGAAGAUGCAGUGUACCCGCGGCAAGACGGAAAGACCCCGUGAACCUUUACUAUAGCUUGACACUGAACAUUGAGCCUUGAUGUGUAGGAUAGGUGGGAGGCUUUGAAGUGUGGACGCCAGUCUGCAUGGAGCCGACCUUGAAAUACCACCCUUUAAUGUUUGAUGUUCUAACGUUGGCCCCUAAUCGGGGUUGCGGACAGUGUCUGGUGGGUAGUUUGACUGGGGCGGUCUCCUCCUAAAGAGUAACGGAGGAGCACGAAGGUUGGCUAAUCCUGGUCGGACAUCAGGAGGUUAGUGCAAUGGCAUAAGCCAGCUUGACUGCGAGCGUGACGGCGCGAGCAGGUGCGAAAGCAGGUCAUAGUGAUCCGGUGGUUCUGAAUGGAAGGGCCAUCGCUCAACGGAUAAAAGGUACUCCGGGGAUAACAGGCUGAUACCGCCCAAGAGUUCAUAUCGACGGCGGUGUUUGGCACCUCGAUGUCGGCUCAUCACAUCCUGGGGCUGAAGUAGGUCCCAAGGGUAUGGCUGUUCGCCAUUUAAAGUGGUACGCGAGCUGGGUUUAGAACGUCGUGAGACAGUUCGGUCCCUAUCUGCCGUGGGCGCUGGAGAACUGAGGGGGGCUGCUCCUAGUACGAGAGGACCGGAGUGGACGCAUCACUGGUGUUCGGGUUGUCAUGCCAAUGGCACUGCCCGGUAGCUAAAUGCGGAAGAGAUAAGUGCUGAAAGCAUCUAAGCACGAAACUUGCCCCGAGAUGAGUUCUCCCUGACCCUUUAAGGGUCCUGAAGGAACGUUGAAGACGACGACGUUGAUAGGCCGGGUGUGUAAGCGCAGCGAUGCGUUGAGCUAACCGGUACUAAUGAACCGUGAGGCUUAACCUU